AAUGUAACUCUUUAUGGUUGAUGUAUAACAAUGAUUCAAGUUAGUCUAAGGUAGGUGUACAGGGCAUUAUUUUUCUGUAUUAAAGAAAGAGAUAAAUGUAGUGCGUUUUCAAAAUAAAUUAUUUUAUUCAUUGCUUAUUAAGGGAAAAAAACAUGGUCAGUUCAUUAGAAUACUGAUGUAGCUUCACAGUGGCAAUAAUUUGAUCAAUUAUUAUUUGAUGUGAUGGAAAUAAAGAAACCUUCACAGAUAUCAGAGAAAAGUGAAGAUAACUCCUCUAUCAAAUGCCAUCAAUGUAUUUCAAAUCAUCGUUUACUAAAUAAUUAGCUUAAGCUUUUAAAAAUGGAGAAGGCUAGACUUUUAGAUUACUCUAUUAGAAGAAAAAGAAUUCUUCCUAAGUGCAUACAAUCUGUAUUUUGGCCAGGGAGCAUAUAAUGGAUUUGUAAAUGCUUUACUGAGACUAAGCAUGAACUUAAUUUGGGUAAUAAAAAGAAAAUUUUUAAAAGGGCGGGAUGAGUACAAAACCAGUAUGUUCAUAGUUAAACAUUCAGAAAGAGAAG